rnacentral:rRNA from 1 species
ACUCCUACGGGAGGCAGCAGUGGGGAAUCUUGGACAAUGGGGGCAACCCUGAUCCAGCCAUGCCGCGUGAGUGAUGAAGGCCUUAGGGUCGUAAAGCUCUUUCGCCUGUGAUGAUAAUGACAGUAGCAGGGUAAACGAAACCCCGGCUAACUCCGUGCCAGCAGCCGCGGUAAUACGGAGGGGUUUAGCGUUGUUCGGAAUUACUGGGCGUAAAGCGCGCGUAGGCGGAUUAGUCAGUUAGAGGUGAAAUCCCAGGGCUCAACCUGGAACUGCCUUUAAUACUGCUAGUCUUGAGUUCGAGAGAGGUGAGUGGAAUUCCGAGUGUAGAGGUGAAAUUCGUAGAUAUUCGGAGGAACACCAGUGGCGAAGGCGGCUCACUGGCUCGAUACUGACGCUGAGGUGCGAAAGUGU